rnacentral:rRNA from 1 species
GAUGAACGCUGGCGGUUGUGCCUAACACAUGCAAGUCGAGCGAACCCUUCGGGGUGAGCGGCGGACGGGUGAGUAACGCGUGGGUAACCUGCCCUAUACACACAGAUAACAUACCGAAAGGUAUGCUAAUACGAGAUAACAUAUUUUAAUCGCAUGGUUAAGAUAUCAAAGCUCCGGCGGUACAGGAUGGACCCGCGUCUGAUUAGCUAGUUGGUGAGGUAAUGGCUCACCAAGGCGACGAUCAGUAGCCGACCUGAGAGGGUGAUCGGCCACACUGGAACUGAGACACGGUCCAGACUCCUACGGGAGGCAGCAGUGGGGAAUAUUGCACAAUGGGCGAAAGCCUGAUGCAGCAACGCCGCGUGAGCGAUGAAGGCCUUCGGGUCGUAAAGCUCUGUCCUCAAGGAAGAUAAUGACGGUACUUGAGGAGGAAGCCCCGGCUAACUAC